UAACUGAGAAGCGAAUGUUGCAUUUAGUUUCGGCCUAAACUUCGGCGGUACCUGCCGCCCUCAGUUAAC
rnacentral:tRNA from 1 species